AUUGAACGCUGGCGGCAGGCUUAACACAUGCAAGUCGAGCGGAGUGAUGGUGCUUGCACUAUCACUUAGCGGCGGACGGGUGAGUAAUGCUUAGGAAUCUGCCUAUUAGUGGGGGACAACAUCUCGAAAGGGAUGCUAAUACCGCAUACGUCCUACGGGAGAAAGCAGGGGAUCACUUGUGACCUUGCGCUAAUAGAUGAGCCUAAGUCGGAUUAGCUAGUUGGUGGGGUAAAGGCCUACCAAGGCGACGAUCUGUAGCGGGUCUGAGAGGAUGAUCCGCCACAAUGGGACUGAGACACGGCCCAGACUCCUACGGGAGGCAGCAGUGGGGAAUAUUGGACAAUGGGGGGAACCCUGAUCUAGCCAUGCCGCGUGUGUGAAGAAGGCCUUAUGGUUGUAAAGCACUUUAAGCGAGGAGGAGGCUCUUUUGGUUAAUACCCAAGAUGAGUGAACGUUACUCGCAGAAUAAGCACCGGCUAACUCUGUGCCAGCCGCCGCCGUAA
rnacentral:rRNA from 1 species